GCAGAAUUUUUAGAGCUUAUUUGUUUUGCAGUCGACCUUAGUUUUCCAAAACUCUGCCUAGUUACCAAAUAGCAAACUUCUGAAAAGAGAAGUUCCUAUGAAUCUUCAAAGUCAUCAUCUCCCCACUUCCCCAGACCAAAAUGGAUAUACCAUGGACACAGAAACUCCUGAACAAUUUAGCAAAGCUAUCUUCGUCCCCUACGCCCCCUUUGCAGAAUGCAUAGUUUACAAUUCACUUACAAAAUAAAGAAGCGAUGCUGACCACAUAUGGGACCUUUUUUUUUUUUUUUUU